CAGCUACUCACCGGGGACUGGCCAUGUCUUGUGGAAGGUGAAACCACUCCUGCAGUUUAGAUUCUAGACCAACUCCAACCUGGAAAAAAAGGAACAAAAAUAAACAACCCAGUUUGGGGACAUUAUUUGAAGGCCAAAGGCUGACUAUAAGGUAUGACCCAGGCUCCACUGAGCAUGCCCAAUAGUGCCGUCCCUGUGUAAUAGCCACAUCCCCCACCAGGAGAUCCGAGGUCAGGUGACAGGAAGUGAGGGCGUUGUCAGCGGCCUGCAGCAGAGAGAGACCAGGGACGCUGCGAGCACAACGCUGCUCUUUACUGACCACCAACCGGUCAGCAUGGAGACCCCAGCGAGAGUCCAGGUAGAAGUUGAGCACUAGGAGGAGAUGAGGAGAGCGGAAACAGCAGAGAAAAGGAAAGGGGAGGAAAAACCGAAGAGAAAGGAGGGGAGAAGAUGUAUACGUGAGGGUAGAGGGAAGACAAAGAGACAGGUGCAUUCAAAAAUGACAUAUUGGGGUUUUAGAAGCAGCAGGAGAAGCAUGGGAGGCAACAGAGGGACAGUGGUACAGAUUUACUGUCAGAAAGCAGCAAGGAGACGAGAAAUAAGGAGAAUACAGAACAACUGAGAGGAGAGACUAAGGGGAGAGGAACAGAGAGCAGGCAUGCAACUCCUCCCACCAGCACUGGAAGAGAAAAGGACACUGAGCUAUAAAUUGAUGACUCUGGGAGUAAAGUACUGAAGGCAUCACAAAGAAGAUCUAGGGAGUGCAGAUUUUUCCAGAGGGUGUACAAUUUACAGAGGGAGCAUAUGCAAUAACAGCAAGGAAAAACAGCCUACGGGGUACACAAGGAAUUCACCAAUUCACCGUUAAAAAGCCCUGGAUCUGAACCCGAUCCAUGUUGUUAAGCCUCACGUCUUAACAAACUGCAAACCUCAUCAGCAGUCAGACAGAUCUCGUUAGAUAGAGUGGGAGGCAGAGGGGUGAGUGGGUGUCUAGAUGGGGAUGGAAGAACAGAGGAUGCACGGGAUGGCCACAAAGAGAAAGAAGAGAAGAGAUGUUGUAUGGGUGUCAAAAGAUAUGAUUUAGAUAUGUGCACUUCUUACGUUCCGUAGGAGGCAUGUAGGUUGGCAGCGUGGAAGUAGCGCGGAAGAGGAUGACAAGUACAAAGCUGUGAAAUGGAAACAACAUGUGACGGAAAGAUGAAGAAAUAAAGAGUAAGAGAGUGAGGAUGUGUUCAAAGUGGAGGAAGAGGUGGGAAAAAAUUGGAAAAAGAAGAUGGGAAAUGGGCAGAAAGGAAAAAGAAUGAAUUAUUAACUGCUCACCAUGGCAACCAACGUAAUGCUUUUAUUGUGCCUGAUAAAUAAUAGUAGGUGUGAAGAGAUGAAUGGCCCCUAUAUGACAGCAACUACAGCUUGCUAUGCGGAUAUAAUGAGAUUUGUUUGUACCCGUCAUACACUUGUCACUGAUUUAAGUGGCUAUAAGUCAUUAUACAAAAAUAGUGGAAACACUCUUGUAUAAAAUGUAUAAAAGGGACACAUUCUGGACACUUUAUGAAGGUGGGGGAUGAUCCCUCUGACAUUGUUUUUAGCACCAAGUUAAAGGAUUAUCCCAGUUAACUGCUAUUUAUGUCUUAUUUUCAUAAUUUUGGAUGUCUUUCCUAAUAUUAAAAACAAUAUUGAAAUCAUGAAAUGCUUUGUUCUGGGAAUACACCUCCAUUGUUGUGACCAUGCAUGGCCCAUCACAUCAUGUUAUUAUGCCGCAUUUGAUUCCAGGAUUCAUCAGAGUAGACAACCGUUUUUACAGUCAUCGACAGUCCAUUGUAAAUGCAUAUGGCCAGAUAAUGUGGACAUGAGAGGUACCUUGUUGCAGACAAUGUGAAGCCUCAGAUGUGUAAUUGUAAAUGUUAACUGCUGUACAGUGGACUGUCAAGUUGCCAAGGUUCGUCUCCAGAUGGAGAAUGUUUAGAUUUAUGUUGUGGUACGAUGAUUGUUUGAUCAUUGCAAUGCUCAAACACGCCCUACCAGCACCUUUAAAUCACGUUUAUUUCAAAGAUCUACUCCCUGACUUGUUGUAGUGUCCCUAAAUCCCAAAAUGUUGUCCCAGCUGGUGUUUUUAACAAAUUUUCACCCCAUUAAAUCUGUAUAAGAACAUUUCUGCUUCUCCUUUGCAAAUAAAUGUUUCAUGUAUUGCAUGUAUGAUUCAUA